AGGUGCUGCAUGGCUGUCGUCAGCUCGUGUCGUGAGGAUGUUGGGUUAAGUCCCGCAACGAGCGCAACCCUUGUCUUUAAUUGCCAUCAUUUAGUUGGGCGACUUUAAAGAGACUGCCGGUGUUAAGCCGGAGGAAGGUGGGGAUGACGUCAAGUCCUCAUGACCUUUAUGCCCAGGGCUACACACGUGCUACAAUGGCCGGUACAGACGGAGGCGAAGCCGCGAGGCGGAGCAAAUCCGAAAAAGCCGGUCUCAGUUCGGAUUGCAGGCUGCAAUUCGCCUGCAUGAAGUCGGAAUCGCUAGUAAUCGCAGGUCAGCAUACUGCGGUGAAUACGUUCCCGGGCCUU
rnacentral:rRNA from 1 species